UAAUAGAAAAUCAAUAGCUGAAUCAUCUGUCAUCCUUAAAUACAUUGAUGAAAUGUGGAAGCGAUCUUCUCAACUAUUGCCUGAUGAUCCUUAUCAAAGAACUCAAGUUUGCUUCUGGUUGUUUGAAGGCAUGGGACGCGUAAUCACAAGUGAUGGAGAAGCACAAGAGAGAGCAGUUGACUAACUACUGGAGAAGAUGAACAUAUUUGAAGAGGAAAUGAAGAAACUCUUACCUGAUGGUGUUCCAAUCAUUCAAGUUGAUAACUUAGGACUCCUAGACAUUCUAGUGAGUGUAACAUUCAGCGCCUAUGAAGCUCGAGAAGAAGUGAGUGGUGUAAAAAUUUUAAACCCAGAAAGGAACCCAUUCAUAUUUUCGUGGGUUACCACCUUGAAACAGCUGCCUAUAGUGAAAGAGUUGCUACCCCCUCAUGACAAGCCUGUGGGACUUAUUCGCUUUGUUAGGAAAAUGUCUCUUAAAUCUUCUGCUUAGUGAAGUGUUUCGCUUUUGUCUAGGCAUGUUCCUCUAUAAUCACUUGUGUGAAAAUAAGUGAGAUGAAUGAUAGCAUCUGCCAUUGGUUGAA